ACUGAACGCUGGCGGCAGGCCUAACACAUGCAAGUCGAGCGGAUGAUGGGAGCUUGCUCUCUGAUUUAGCGGCGGACGGGUGAGUAAUGCCUAGGAAUCUGCCUGGUAGUGGGGGAUAACGUUCCGAAAGGAACGCUAAUACCGCAUACGUCCUACGGGAGAAAGCGGGGGAUCUUCGGACCUCGCGCUAUCAGAUGAGCCUAGGUCGGAUUAGCUAGUUGGUGAGGUAAAGGCUCACCAAGGCGACGAUCCGUAACUGGUCUGAGAGGAUGAUCAGUCACACUGGAACUGAGACACGGUCCAGACUCCUCCGGGAGGCAGCAGUGGGGAAUAUUGGACAAUGGGCGAAAGCCUGAUUCAGCCAUGCCGCGUGUGUGAAGAAGGUCUUCGGAUUGUAAAGCACUUUAAGUUGGGAGGAAGGGUUGUAGAUUAAUACUCUGCAAUUUUGACGUUACCGACAGAAUAAGCACCGGCUAACUUCGUGCCAGCCGCCGCCGUAAUAC
rnacentral:rRNA from 1 species